rnacentral:rRNA from 1 species
AUUGAACGCUGGCGGCAGGCCUAACACAUGCAAGUCGAGCGAGCGGCGGACGGGUGAGUAAUGUCUGGGAAACUGCCUGAUGGAGGGGGCUAACUACUGGAAACGGUAGCUAAUACCGCAUACCAUCAGAUGUGCCCAGAUGGGAUUAGCUAGUAGGUGGGGUAACGGCUCACCUAGGCGACGAUCCCUAGCGGGUCUGAGAGGAUGACCAGCCACACUGGAACGGAGACACGGUCCGGACCCCUACGGGAGGAGGGGGUGGGGAAUAUUGCACAAUUGGCUCGAGCCUGAUGCAGCCAUGCCGCGUGUGUGAAGAAGGCCUUCGGGUUGUAAAGCACUUUCAGCGGGGAGGCGUUACCCGCAGAAGAAGCACCGGCUAACUCCGUGCCAGCAGCCGCGGUAAUAC